CUCAUUUUCCAUUACCACGUAAAUGCGAUACAAUAUCUGAUAAAUUAUUGUGUUUGUGUGUAGGCCGUUAGAUAUACGGCCGCUUCCUUGGGAAUAAAGCUGCAGGCGAACACUACAUGGGGAAGCAACUGUAGCUGGAGAAAACUAUCUUGGAGAGCAGAACGCGUCAUCUCGCAACAGCCCACAGUAUCCUGAAUCCAACUACUAAUCUACUGAUGCAUCAGAAGAAUGGCUUCAAGAAAAGACAGCAACAGAAAGUUCUGCAGAGAUUGGAGACCUCCCAUAAGAACUGUGUGACUCCGACAAGAGGACUUAAAGCUGAGUACUUUUCUUAUUUUUAUAACUUUUAUAUCGGUGACCAGCAGGGUCUCAGUCACAGUUUCAGAAAAUUAAUUUGGUUGCCUGUACAUAAUAGAAUGAUUUUUGUUAAUUUUUUUUAUCAGAAUAAAUAGUGUAUAUAAAAUGA
rnacentral:lncRNA from 1 species